UCUAUGGUUGAACUUAGUCAUUGCUGAGUACUUUCUUACGUGACAUUUUUGAUCACAGACAUGGAUUUCUUGGUUAGUUUGAUGUUGGAGCUGCCAAUGGUGUUGAUGCAGCGUUCAUAAUGUGAGCAGUGGUUUUGCAGUCAUUUUCCAGUCGAGAUGUCUUGAAAUGAAGCUUGUGCAGACAUGUGUUAUUUGCCUUUGUUGGUGUUCUUGCAGCGUUGAGCUGUUGUGCAAAAUACGAUGUUGCCUGGUUGCUGUCGGCCAUGUUCUAUCGGCUGCCUUUUGUCGAUGUGUCGUCUCGUUUCUUGCCACCUGUACACACGUUAAGUUCAAUCGUACGCCGCCGUUCCAGACUUGAUCCAUUGGUGAAGCCGAAAAGAGGCUGUUGAAAUUCAAGACUG